UGGUGGAGUGAUUUGUCUGCUUAAUUGCGAUAACGGACGAGAUCUUAACCUGCUAAAUAGCCCGUAUUGCUUUGGCAGUACGCUGGCUUCUUAGAGGGACUAUCGGCUCAAGCCGAUGGAAGUUUGAGGCAAUAACA
rnacentral:rRNA from 1 species